GGACCGCACCUAUCCCCCAGAGUCAUUUUGAAGAAUAAAGAAGAUAAGGUACAGAAAGUGCCCAGCACAGUGUGAGCGCUUCAAAGAUGGCAGCUCCUGCGCCCCAGAGCUCCCAGCGCCUUUCGUCAGCCCAACGGGUGGAGCUUGCACAGCAGGAAGACCUCAGGAGCAGCUAAACAAGCACUGGCCUUGAGAUGAGCAAUGUUGAAGCAGUUGCAGCUCAGCCACCAUCAGACACUUAGACCGACUCCUCGUUCCACCAGCCAUCACUACAGCUUUGACUGGACCAGAGACUGAGUUCUGUUACUUUCUCCUGAUAAGAGGCCGCCAACUGUGGACUGGUUCUGGCCAGUUUACAGAAGCUGUGCACUUGAGAGGCUUCAUGUCCCUGCUUCACCUUUUGAUGUAUAGGCCCUAAUUGUAAUACAUUUAAAUGUUAAGUCUCCGCUCCAAAGUGAACAUGGGUCACAUGUAACAUGCACGUUUGCUACAUGCUUCAGGACCCCUUUCAUGAACAUUCAUAGCUCCUCCUGUAACCUGUUGAAUAUGUAUGUUUGGCCAACCCCCUCAGCAUAAUUCCCGUCUCCCUUGAAAAACCUGCCUUUCAGCCUCUCCCAGAGGCUAUACUUCCCAACCUGUCAGAACGGCCACCUUGCAGGCUGUAAUCCUUUAUUAAAAAAAAAAAAACAACCAA
rnacentral:lncRNA from 1 species